AUGGUUUUCCUUCAUCUUAUAUAUGAUCACCUGACAGAGAAAACAGAGCACUUGCGCAUACGUGAGUGUACAUCGUUUUCGGUUUUCUACUAUCCACUGCAUACGCAUCUACAACAAAACCCUCUCCCGCGCGCACUACACCCAUACAGCACCUGCGUUACGAAGCAGCGGGACGAGCUUGCCGCUGAGGUGAAGGGACAUGACCUUGUCGGUGGAUCCGACGAGCCUGCCGCCGAUGAACACCGCCGGCACGCCCGGGUUCCGGCCGAGGAGCCUCGCCAGCGCCUUCUCCAUCUCCUUUCCCCUGGGGUCCUCGUCCAGAUCCACCUCCGCCGGGUUCGCCCCGAGGUCCCGGAAGAGGCGCGCCACCGUGUGGCACAUGCAGCAGGAGCUCAUGCUGAAGAUCACCACCGCCCGCUGCCCCGCCAGCUUCGUCACCUGCUCCAUCAAGCUGACCCGACCUUGAUCUUCUUCACCACGAACUCAAAAGAACAAUGUUGUGGAUGUACAAGUCUUCAGUGCUACCUGUACGAGUCUUUGACUUGUGCUCGCUUGCUUGGAGCUGGGCACGGGAGGCCCUGCUUAUAUAGCCAUGGAAAUGUGCACCGGCCGGCUGGAUGA
rnacentral:rRNA from 1 species